UACGUAGGGUGCAAGCGUUGUCCGGAAUUAUUGGGCGUAAAGAGCUUGUAGGCGGUUUGUCGCGUCUGCUGUGAAAUUUCGGGGCUCAACCCCGAACUUGCAGUGGGUACGGGCAGACUAGAGUGUGGUAGGGGAGACUGGAAUUCCUGGUGUAGCGGUGAAAUGCGCAGAUAUCAGGAGGAACACCUGUGGUGUAGACAGCUUUCUGGACCACAAGCUGACGCUGAGACACGAAAGCGUGGGUAGCAAACAGG
rnacentral:rRNA from 1 species